rfam:Oesophagostomum dentatum strain OD-Hann O_dentatum-1.0_Cont15570.1, whole genome shotgun sequence.
CCUUCCGGUCCGGCGUCAGUGGGUUAUCGUUCAUCCCUUCGGGGAAUUUCCCAUCGGCACAACCUUGACCGCUGG